CUCAGACACUAGACCUCUGUCACUUCAAGAGAGACUAUUAAAGCAGCUCGUGGCGUCUCUUCUGAGUCGGAGGAAUAGCCGGACAGCCAGCAUUUACUAGUCCCUAAGCGCCAUCAUCCUGCCGAGCCUGGAAAGCUGAACCACCCGUUUUUAAACAAUUUACAGUCUUAAGGGGGGAUGGGCAGCAGCAAUUAAGACAGGAGAGCAACUGAGGCAGGAGAACAAGGCAAAGCGAGAUCUGGAAGACUUACCAAAGCCUUACAAAAUCAGUUCAGGCAGCUGAGGUGGACUUAGCUGCUCACGCAGAACAGAGGGGAAACAGGCGGUCUAGAGCCAGGGUGGCUGAGAUUGACGUGCAGCCCACUUUAAAUGCAAAGGCACCGCACCCCUGGCUAGAAAGUUAAAAUGCUAAUGAGACACGUGAUGCGUGAAAUAGUACACAAAACUGUAUGUAACCGAGCAUGCUCAGAAAGGCCUGUGCUGGCUUCUCCAUGAGAUAGGAAUAAAGUAUCACCCAUAGCAAGAAUUUCUAUGUCUUGCGUGCUUCUUGCCGGCGGAAAGUCGCGCGUGGGACAUUUGGUGCCGAGAAACCCGGGACAAAAACAUCGCCGGCGCUACAAGAGGCCUCCGUUUCACGGAAGAAAUUCAGAAGCUAUGGAAUACAGUAUCUUACAGAAUUGGGUUUCAACACGUUGGUGGACUAGUCCAGGAAUUGAGACAAUCCAUCGCCCAUAUCAGCUCCACUCGAGUGGAUAGUCACUGUGAACACCAUCUGGCUUUUUCCCCUCUUUGUCUAUUGUUUGUCUCUGGUACACCAGGAUGUCCCCAUGUCUGUCAGUGUAUGUCUGUGGUUUUUGUUUAUCGUUGUCUAAAUGUUUUAUGUUUCAUGUUCAAAAGAAAAAAUGGUAAAAACCUUAUCUGCCGGUCGUGCA